rnacentral:rRNA from 1 species
GACAGAGGUCCCGAGCGUUUAGGCGGAAUCACUGGGCUUAAAGCGUGUGUAGGCGGAUUUGUAAGUACCUUGUGAAAUCCCACGGCUUAACCGUGGAACUGCUUGGUAUACUGCUUAUCUUGAGCCACUUAGGGGCAACCGGAACAAACGGUGGAGCGGUGAAAUGCGUAGAUAUCGUUUGGAACGCCAAUGGAGAAAUCAGGUUGCUGGGAGUGUGCUGACGCUGAGACACGAAAGCCAGGGGAGCGAACGGG